rnacentral:rRNA from 1 species
GAUGAACGCUGGCGGCGUGCCUAAUACAUGCAAGUCGAGCGAACAGACGAGGAGCUUGCUCCUCUGACGUUAGCGGCGGACGGGUGAUUAACACGUGGAUAACCUACCUAUAAGACUGGGAUAACUUCGGGAAACCGGAGCUAAUACCGGAUAAUAUAUUGAACCGCAUGGUUCAAUAGUGAAAGACGGUUUUGCUGUCACUUAUAGAUGGAUCCGCGCCGCAUUAGCUAGUUGGUAAGGUAACGGCUUACCAAGGCAACGAUGCGUAGCCGACCUGAGAGGGUGAUCGGCCACACUGGAACUGAGACACGGUCCAGACUCCUACGGGAGGCAGCAGUAGGGAAUCUUCCGCAAUGGGCGAGAGCUUGACGGAGCAACGCCGCGUGAGUGAUGAAGGUCUUCGGAUCGUAAAACUCUGUUAUUAGGGAAGAACAAAUGUGUAAGUAACUAUGCACGUCUUGACGGUACCUAAUCAGAAAGCCACGGCUAACUACGUG